rnacentral:rRNA from 1 species
AUUGAACGCUGGCGGCAUGCCUUACACAUGCAAGUCGAACGGUAGAGGGGCAACCCUCGAGAGUGGCGAACGGGUGAGUAAUGCAUCGGAACGUGCCCAGUCGUGGGGGAUAACACUUCGAAAGAAGUGCUAAUACCGCAUACGACCUGAGGGUGAACGCGGGGGAACGCAAGGCCUCGCGCGAUUGGAGCGGCCGAUGUCAGAUUAGGUAGUUGGUGGGGUAAAGGCCCACCAAGCCGACGAUCUGUAGCUGGUCGGAGAGGACGACCAGCCACACUGGGACUGAGACACGGCCCAGACUCCUACGGGAGGCAGCAGUGGGGAAUUUUGGACAAUGGGCGCAAGCCUGAUCCAGCCAUGCCGCGUGCGGGAAGAAGGCCUUCGGGUUGUAAACCGCUUUUGUCAGGGAAGAAACGCUCCGGGCUAAUACCCUGGGGUAAUGACGGUACCUGAAGAAUAAGCACCGGCUAACUACGUGCCAGCCGCCGCCGUAAUAC